UCCAAUCCGUGACUCAAAACCGUGAUCUAAUCCAAACUGUGAGUUUUUUGAUCCGUUGCACCCCUAUCGUUCACAUUCACUCACUUCUCCAUUACAAACCAAUCAAAACAAAGAAGAGGCGGGACUUCUAAUGGCAGAGGUCUUCAUGGAAACAAACUACUACAGAGUACACAGAGCAUUUUAAAACAGACUUAACGAUCACAAAGGGAAGCAGAUGACUGCCAAGGGACAACUUCUGUAACCUUGCAGCUGUAAUCGUCGGUGUUAAGUGCUCUGAAAUUGAGGUUGACGACAGUGUUGCCAACUACCCAGUACGGAAAGUAGCUAUUGGCUGUCCUAAAAGUCGCUAGAAGUCACUAAAUGAUGUCAUCACUUAAUUUGAAUAAUUGAAAAUGUGCUUGAAUUUGUAAUGGACGCUGCAGGAGAGACAAGUAACAUUGGGGGAGAGACAAUAAUCUGGAAGUGGAGGGUUGAACAUCUCCUGCUCUGACUGCAGCUAGAAGCGACUGCUGCAUGACUAGGACUGUGCUUUGGGAUGAGGGAGGGACCUGCAAGCAGCACCCACUGCUCGUUGAGAAGAGUAAGAACAAUAGGUGCUUUCACAUCAGCACGUCUCCAACAACACCAGAAAAGGUUACUAGAUUUGUUGUUAGUUACUUUUUUGAAAAAGAGUCUGAAACUUGCUUGAUAUAGUGACAAAGUCCCUAAGAUGGUAACACUGGUCAGGGACGCUGUCAGUGCAGAAAAUGUUGGCAGUGGAAACAGGCCCUAAUGUGAGCAACAGAGGAUUAAAGACACAAAUCCUGGUCUCUGUUGUCUUUUACUCUCUAACAGCACACUCAAAUCUCUUAAGUCUUUUAGUUAAGACGAGCACUCAAGGUUGGACAGAUACUCAGACUUGAUGAAGAUGUGUCCUACUAUAGAUUGUGAUAAUGGAUCAGAUUGUAAUGUGUUCUCUCUCUCCUCUGUAUAAAGUCACAGGGUUCACAUCCAGCUCCUCUGAUCUUCAGAUGGCUGACUGCAUUUCCUGGUCAACCAGCUGAGUUUAUGGGCUAAUUAGCUAAUGGUAGAUCUCAGCUGAGGCCUGCCUCCUUAACCAAUCACAACACAUGCCUUGUGAUGCAUGAGAUCCAUAUUACAGCAGGUCUAUAGCCUUCACUAAUGGUGGCAAGUGGAAACGCUGUGAUGCUCUGACUCCCUGCUCUCUCUCUUGCUCUCUGUCUCUGCUCAUUUGUUCUUCCUGAAGACUCAUCAUUUCUCUUUUGACCACCCGUUCAUUUUUCUUAUCAUUUUUUUUACAUCUACGUCUGGCCUCUCAUUUAUUUCUUCCCUCUCCUCCUUUGUUAGUCUCCCCCUCCAUCUCUCUGACUGAUAUAGACUAGUGGGGGCAAGUGGGAGUGGACCAGUGCGUGUGAGCGAUGGAGGUGUCUGCCCUCUUCAGUCAAUGCUACGGAGUGCAAGUAUCGAUUUUUUUGGACAGCUGGAGAGAGACAGAAAAUGCAGGGAGCAGAGAGCAGGGGAAGAUGUGCGGAAGAUGGUCGUGGCCAGGAGUUGAACCUACGAGCACUGUAACAAGGACUACAGACCUUGUACAUGGGGCCUACGCUUAGACAACUAGGCCAGUUGCAGUUUUUCUUUUUCUUUUUUGUAAUGUUUUAAAAAAUAAAGGUAAAUAUAAAUUUUAAGACCUGCAGACUCAAAAAUAAGGAUGCCAAGAGAGAAGCUGUUGUAAUACGAAACUGUCAUCACAUGCAGAAUUUCUUUCCUUAAAGCUCCUGUGAGGAACUUAGUUUACGUUGAGGACAAAGUGUUACAUACUAUCUCUUGUUAAUAAAAAAAUCUAAUGCUGUUUCCUUUUUCAAAGUAAAACUCAGUUAAGUUGUUUUUUAAAUGUAAAUAAAAGUCUGUUUCAGUUGCAUGCUGUUUAUCUCCUUGUUUGACGCCUGCCCUGAGGCACAGGUGUCAUUCUGGUGUUUAUAGCUCUAUAGAGGUAAUCCAGCUUGUCAAAGAUCGUCUUGCGUUCUUUAUUGAGACAUAAAGAGGUAUCAGUGCUUAUUUUAGUCUGCUCUCUAACCACAAUAAACCCUUCACAGGAGCUUUAACAACACUAGCAAUUACAUUAUUUCUAAAUAUCAGUCUCACCAAAUACAAUGAUGGGCUUAUUUCUUCUCUCACCUCUGUUGCUAUUCCAUUCAUAAGAAAACAUCUCCAAUAAAUACAGUUUUUGUUUUUGUUACCUGUUGUUGUUCCUGAGUUUGACAUGCCCUCCAGGCUCCAGAAUCUGCCCGUUCUUCAGCCAGGUGAGCUGAGGCUCAGGCUCGCCCUGGGCCUGGCAGGUGAAGAUGGCGGUGGUGCCGACAGGGCGAGCGAUGGACUGUGGUGCCUGAAUGAACUCUGCAGGAGCUGCGGAACAAAGGAAACAGAGAGUCAGAUAAACUAGCAAUCCAGGGGAAGGAAAAAGAGGAAGAACAAACAGAGGCACACAUGAUAGCCUGCAGGUAAUCCCAGCAGCCGCCAUUUAUUAAUAAAAAAG